GGAGAGACAGUGGGAGCUUCGUGUGCAUAACAUAUUAGAGGAUAUGACUGCACCUCUUUAUUUGAAGGAGUAAAGGUUGUAUCCUAAGGUACAUAAUCCUGCUCAAUUUUCACACUGUUCCGUCUAUAAGGUGUCUCAUACAUUCGUUCCGACCUCUAGAUGGCUCCGCUUCAUCCUCACCCUCAUUUUCACUAGUAAUCUCUUUAGCCUCGACAUACUUUUCCAC
rnacentral:lncRNA from 1 species